GAUGAACGCUAGCGGCAGGCUUAAUACAUGCAAGUCGAGGGGGCAGCACGGGUAGCAAUACCUGGUGGCGACCGGCGCACGGGUGCGUAACACGUAUACAAUCUACCUUUAACAGGGGGAUAGCCUUUCGAAAGAGAGAUUAAUACCCCAUAACACAUGAAAUAGCAUUAUUUUAUGUUAAAAGCUCCGGCGGUUAAAGAUGAGUAUGCGUCUGAUUAGCUAGUUGGUGAGGUAACGGCUCACCAAGGCAACGAUCAGUAGGGGAUCUGAGAGGACUACCCCCACACUGGUACUGAGACACGGACCAGACUCCUACGGGAGGCAGCAGUAAGGAAUAUUGGUCAAUGGAGGCAACUCUGAACCAGCCAU
rnacentral:rRNA from 1 species